rnacentral:rRNA from 1 species
GUGUCAGCAGCCGCGGUAAUACGUAGGGUGCGAGCGUUAAUCGGAAUUACUGGGCGUAAAGCGUGCGCAGGCGGUUUUGUAAGCCAGUCGUGAAAUCCCCGGGCUUAACCUGGGAAUGGCGAUUGGGACUGCAAGGCUCGAGUGCGGCAGAGGGGGGUGGAAUUCCACGUGUAGCAGUGAAAUGCGUAGAUAUGUGGAGGAACAUCAAUGGCGAAGGCAGCCCCCUGGGUAGACACUGACGCUCAUGCACGAAAGCGUGGGGAGCAAACAGGAUUAGAUACCCUGGUAGUCCACGCCCUAAACUAUGUCAACUAGUUGUUGGAGGAUGAACUCCUUUAGUAACGCAGCUAACGCGUGAAGUUGACCGCCUGGGGAGUACGGUCGCAAGAUUAAAACUCAAAUGAAUUGACGGGG